rnacentral:lncRNA from 1 species
ACUAGCUAACUUUGGCAUUGAAAGUUCGCUAGGCCGGACAGAUCGUCGUGUUUGAGUUACGGGCUCGUCACACAAGUAUAUCAAAAAGUAGAGAACAUACACCAAAAUAUGUUUUCUAUACAUGAAACUCGAUCUUCUAUAUAAACAAGACUGCACAGGUGCAAGAAAAAAAUAAGAACAUUAAGCUAUUCCUCAAAGUACACAGUUGUUAUUUAUCCCUUUAAAGACUCCUGUUUCUCUCCUUUUGCGUGACCCGUAUUAUGGCUAAGCGGCAACAUUCAUGCCUGACGUUUCCUCUUCUUCUAAAGGCUUCUGCAUCCUUUAUUAAUCCUGGUAACAUCCUUGCACCCUAAAGCAGUUAAAUACUACACAACACACUCAAGCCAACUUGACAACUAGAUGUUCCACGCCUUCACUGAACAUUUACGCAUAAAACAACUAAGUGUGUGAUCCUCUCCUUCAUUUUCAAGUUCUCAAUUGUCAAAAUCGCAUCUCUUUGCUGCAAACCAAGCAGAGAAGCGUACUUUUCUGGGUGUUCUAGGAAUUCAAACUGAUACAUGGGAAAACUCUGUUCCCCUCACCAGUAGCUUGUGUUAGUAUCACUUUAUUGAGAAAACUCCAUCUCUCGUGUCCUACCUCCAUGAGCCCCUAUUAUCAAGCAUUCUGUUGUUUUUUAGUUUCAACCAAUCCUUGAAAUUUAUCUAUUUCUCAAUCUUAUUAAUUCCCUGUAAAGAUCCAAGUGAACUCCUCCCUCUUGUAUCCUCCGGAUGUGUCGCACCUAGUUAUGGAGCUAAGGGUAAUUAAGGGGGUUUAAUUGAACCCUCAUUGUCAGAGAAUUACUUUGCAAGCAGGAUAAAAGUAAACUUUUUUCUGUAUACAUAUACUUUGUUGAAUCCUCUUAACAUAAGGGAUUCUUCUGUUGUAGCAACCUUGGGGUUUCAACAAUUGCUGUGGAAAGAAUAAAAUUCUUGAAUAAUUUCAUUCAUAUUUUUCAAUAUCAUGUACAUGGCUUUAUAUAGAGAGGAGGUUGACCAGCAGAAUCACCUAAGUCCCAUAAAAUUUGGGAUUGUACAGAAUCUAAUAAAAUACAAACAACAACUACCCAGUAUAUUCCCACAAAGUGGGGUCUGGGGAGGGUAAUAUAUAGAC